UGCAAGGUGCGGGCCCAUGAAUUUGUGCAGCGGUGAGGAACGGAAAUGUGCAAAUGAAGAAGUUUUCGCUUUUUUGAAGCAGGGUCUGACUGUGUAGUCCAGGCUUGAGCUCACAUUGCUGGCCGGGAGCUCUGUAGCGACCCUUUUGCCUCAGCCUCCCAAGUCUGCCUCACACUCACAGCUGGAAUUUAGGAAUAGCCAGGGCUGGGUGUGCAGCAUGUGCCAGGCCUUGGGUUCCAUCCCAGCGCCAAAAAAAUGACCCCUGAGCAGAUUUCACAUCUGCAGCAAAACACUCAACCAGAUCCAAGGCUUCCCCGAUGCAGUCCAAGGCGGAGGGGCCUGGGUUUUGCACCACUCCGCUGGAUCCGCUCCCCAGCCCAGGGUGGCUCCCUCAGCCCUCUGUCCCCUGCACACCAGGCACACCAGUUAUCUGCUGGGAAGCGGCUGGCAGCGAGACCUCAUGAGUCAUGUGUGUCAUCAGGACAGAGUGGCACUGUCACCAAGCCCCCAGUGCAAAGCAGCCAGAAGGUGGAAAUGAGGCUCCCACCACACAGGCAGGCAGGACCCCAAUGUUCACAUCGAGGGUCCCGGCCACCGCGAAGCGGCCAGUGAGAGCUGUCCUGCGCCCCAGCCACCCCGGCCCUAGCCUUGUCCCCAGCCCUGGGGGUCAGCUGGGAGCGGCCUCCCCAGCUGCCUCCGGAAGUGAGGCAGCUCUUUCGUGUCCCAGGGACCAGGACGGGAAGGGCGGCCAUUUGGCCGGGUCCGUUUCCUGUGGGGUUUCCCCUGCACACAGCCUGGGCCGUGCCAAGGCCACUCCUGUCGCCACAGGCGCGCGAGUCCGGUCCCGCGUGGGGAGGCCGCGGCCACGCAGGUGCCCCGGGCCCGGACUGCUUCUCGUCCAGGCUCCGGCUCAGUCCUGGGGGCCGGGCUCCCCCGCCAGGCCAGCGCCAGGGAUGGAGCAGCUGGGAUCGGAAAAUACCAAGGCCCGCAGGCCCCGCCCUGCCGUCCGCCCAGCCUGUCACCCGCGUCUCCUGGUGGCCCAGACUCCUCCAGAAGCCCGGCCAGCCCAGCGCAGAGGAAGGGGCGCCAGGCCUGACCACUGCCCCCUCCCCCAAAUCCCGCCCCAUGGGAUGGGCAAGGAGGACCAGGAGGGGGUCUCCCAGGGCAGGGCACUGUCAGGCUUAGCACGCUGUGGGGGAGGGGCAGGGCACUUGCGGGGGGGCCGUGGCCCACCCAGGGCUGGGGGGGCAGGCUCGGGAUGGAGAAGGAUGCCCUGAGUCAUCUGUUAAAAAUAAGCCACGUGAAAGGUGUGGCCCCUCCACACUGGAGCCAAUCACAGAGCCCCAGAGGCACCCCCAUACCCACCAGGGCGGCCUUUCCUUCGAGGUCCCACUACUACCAUGUGGCCACCUCUGCUGUGCCCUGGCCGUAGGCUGCCACCCUAGGAGGCAGUAGAUGGCUUUUUCUUUUUUUUUUUUUUUGAGGGCCGAGGGGGGGAGCUGGACCCACACCCUUCAACCUGAGUUACAUCUCCAGCCCCACCUUUUUCUUGGAUAAGAGUUCUCCGCUGCCCUGGCUGACCUCAGACUUGUGAUCCUCCUGUCUCAGCCUCUCAGUGUACUGGGAUGGCAGGUGUGCCUCAGUCACCCCGCCCUGCUGUAACCGGUUUCCAAAGGCCUCUGUCCCCCUUUCAGGAUACCCCAACCUCUCAUAGACCCAUGGCUUGUGUCCCUGGACUGGUACUUCUGGGGUGUCCCUGCCCAUGGUCCUGGUUGGCAGGACCAGCAUUUCAGAAGCCACUUGGCUGCCCCUGGCCACCAGGUGCCCAACCCGGACCACCCGGCCGCAGGCCAUGGAAGCGCAGUGACCACACCCAUGGUGGCGCCACCGGAGUGACUCAGCUGCGCCCAGCAUGGUGCAUCCCCCUCUCCCCAGAACUCCCACACCCCUCUUCCUCCCUCUCUCGUGUGUCCUCCAGGUGACUGGAUGCAUCCUGAGGUGCACCCGGACCCCAGACAGAGGAGGAGAAAGGGACCCGGGUGUCCCCAAAGAGCGUGGCACCCAGGGCCUAGGCAGGAGGGGGUGAGGCAUUGGCUCUUCUCUCAUCUCAACGCACCCCAAUUCGUGAUGCAUAAAAUGGAGGUCCCAUGGUCGUCCUGGGCCCUGCACAGAGGACACCCAAGCGGAGCCAGGGCUGGCACCACACGCCUGUCAUCCCAGCCUUGGCGAGGCUGAGGCGGGAGGAGCAAUGCGACUCUGAAGCCAACCUGGGCUCUGCAGUGAGUUCAAGGCCCGCCUGGAAUUCGUGUGAAACCUGUCUCACCCUAAAAAUAAAAAGUACAAUGUCCCACCA